GUUGUCCUUGGGUAGCUCAGUGAUAGAGUAUCCGCUCUGCAUGCAGAAGGUCCCAGGUUCAAUCCCCAGCUACAGCU